rnacentral:rRNA from 1 species
UCUGACCUCAAAUCAGGUAGGACUACCCGCUGAACUUAAGCAUAUCAAUAAGCGGAGGAAAAGAAACUAACAAGGAUUCCCCUAGUAACUGCGAGUGAAGCGGGAAAAGCUCAAAUUUGAAAUCUGGCAGUCUUUUUUUUCUUCUUUGGCUGUCCGAGUUGUAAUCUAGAGAAGUGCUUACCUGCACUGGAC